ACUGAAUUGCAGUAUCCUUAAAGCCAGUUUAUUAAUAAGUCCGUACUAGUGGACGAAAUAAGAUUAUAAUAAAUUAGGACAUUGAGGCAUAUUAAUUGAAUCUUUGAAACUUCUUCUUAUGAAAAUUUCUCAAGGAUCGAUUGUUCUGUCACUUAAAACAUUUUGAGGGAGCUCGAGUCACUUAAAGAAUUAAACUUCGUAGAUCUUCGGUCCAUCCUAACAAACCGCUAUUUAUUAUGACAUCGUCGGGUUUCAUUCAUUUCAUCAAGAACGCCGUUCAUUUUACGAGGAAUUACGUAUUUACACAAUUAAUCAAUCCUGCACGAUAGAUUAAAAAUCACAACUGGAGAUGUGAAGAAUGCGUUAUCGCUGUAACUACAUCCACGGCCAAAGCUGCCUUUACAGAAAUUACAGCCGCUUCUGAUAUACAAGUUGUUGGAAAGGUAACAAACUUUAUAUUUACUCGGGACAUUAGUUUGGUUUCAAGAUAUCAAAUGUCGAGCGAAUAGUCCGAUAUCUCAAGUUCUUGCACAAGAAUGAAAUGAUGCGGUGGAUUGGAUGCUAUUUUAUUUGCCAACGACCAGACCUACAGCGUCGAUGGUCAUAAAGGGAGUUAAAAAUUCAAUUUUAUAAGGAAUUAUAACAAUGUUAAGUAGUGAUAGCUGAUGUUAGUCACUAAUGAGUGGUGAUGCUUUGCAUAUCCGGCAAUGUUUUAUGCAGCUUAAUAUUAAAUGAAACCUUUUACAGUCAUCCUUACUUUUGGUGUUGGUAAAAGAAGCUCGACUUUCUGAUCGCCGUAGCUAUUCAACCCGAAAUGGAUCGAAAGUACAUAAUUUCUACUGUGUUCGCAUUUAAGCUGCACUGGUUUUCUCAGAAUAGUGUACCUCGCCCCAUUAUAAAAACAAAGACUGAUAGGAACAAGUAAAAAGGGAAGUUGUCUUUUGAGACAUUCAUACUGAUAUAUAAAACUUUUUAAAGGGAAAGUAAGAAUACUGAGAUGAAGGGAAAAAGAUCAUAAGUGAUCAAGUAGCUAUGGAAAGAAUGGUAGGAAAGUUACACGUUUGCAUCUAACCCGUGAAUUGAAGGGCGUAGAAAGAGAAAGAGCAUUAUAUCAAACUGACGUAAAAUUAUACACUGUUCUAACAAGGCGAAUAUACUUCCAAGUAUCUACUAAUCGCAGUUCCUAACAGGUAUCGGAAAUAAACCAGAGAAAGAAUUGAUUUUACUUGCCUAGAAGAAAAUGAAAACUUGGUAAUUGCAAAUUCUAUAAUUAACUUUAAACCUUAAAUUAACACACAUUUAUUUAAUUUAUAUAUGUUUGGCGUUUAAAAUUCAGCCGUAGAUCUUACAAGAUACCUUCUUAGCUCGCAUUUAGAAGAGACAACGUCGAAUCUACUUCGAUUCAUAUCGAACUGUGUUAAAUAUCAACAUAUAUUGUAAGAGUACAUUUUUAUACGAAAAGUAACUAAUCUGUGUAUUAAAUUAAUAAUAAUAAACAUAUAUUUUACGGAUC